rnacentral:lncRNA from 1 species
CACAAAUGGUUGUCAUACGCCAUCUAGUGGCCAUCUGAGAAACUGUGUUCAUUUCCCGUGGAAAGGCUGUUGGAGCCAGCUGUCUGCUCCGAAUUUCAGUGCCUGCCGGGAAGCCAAUGUACAUUUGUCCACCUUCCAGGCUUUAAACUGAGAGGGCACACUGAGGCUGGCAUGCCAAAGUAUCUCCCAAAAUCUCUGUGUCCUAAGGAAUAUCUGAGAAGUUACUAAUCAGGGACACUCUUUCUUCCUGGAUCCCAAGCAAAACCGGAAGAAAUCGGAGAAAGCAUUGCCUCCAACAGUUGUGGUGUAAAGCAAGGUGUGAAUUUGGGGGCCGUGGUCAGAAUCACACAACCUGCUCCCUGAGGAUGGCAGCGCUCCCUUCGGCCACUCCAGGUGCUGAUGUGACUGUCCCUCCAGGUAGGGGAGGGAAGGAGGCUUGGAGAUGUUAAAGACCCAUCACCUGCAAGAGACUUGAAUGGCUACUUGGUCUCUGACCUAGAAGUGGGUCUGCUAGUUUUG